GGCCAGUGUGGCAUAAUGGUUUGAGUGUUGGAUUAUGACUCGGAGACCAGGGUUUGAUUCCCAGCUUGACCA
rnacentral:tRNA from 1 species